rnacentral:piRNA from 1 species
UAAAGGGAUACAGAGGUUGGGAGCCUAGA